UAAAAAAAAUGAAAAAGAAGAACAAUUCAAGUCAUUAAAAACAUAAUAUUCCCACAAACAGUGUAUCAUAAUGUAUGAAGAUAAUCAAGGUGUAAAUCUCUAUUGUAGAGAUCUAUGAAAACAACAUCAAAUUAACUGAUUACUCUAUUCCCUUUAAAAUAUGUUUAAUUUAUCAUUGAAGUUUAGUUCUCAAAAAAUUUCAAAGAAUAGUGUAUGAAUAUAACUAAUCAUGAUUCUUUAUAAAGUAAUUACCAUUAUAGAGAUUCCUGUUAAAAUAAAAUGUUAACACUUCUUCUCUACUACUCUAAUCUUCUCUCUCUCCUACUCCUUCUAUUCCCACCAUCUCUCUCUCGACUUAGGGGCUAGCCCCCUCUUUCCUAUCCCCAAUAUCAAUAGUUACAGAAUUUCUGAAGAUCUGAAGAUUGAGGUUGCUCCUGAUAGGAACUCUAACAAUUAAAAUUUCUAUUCGUUCCAUGUAGAGGUAAAAGUAGAGCAACAAAAUUGUGGAAGAGGAAGAAGAUUAUGGAAUAGAGUGGAGAAGAAAGUAUUAUUUUUAUCAUACUUUGUUUGUUUUUUUGUUUUAUGAUGAAUUUUGGAACAAAGAAGAAGAAGAUUAUGGAGCCUUUAACUACAUAAUGCAUAUUAGCAGUUAAUCAUGGGAUUUUCCCACUAAAUAAUGGUUUGUGCUUUUCAAAAAAUACAGUUUUGAUAUUGGAGAAGUUAUUGAUGUGAAGAUCUACGUUUCUCUAUUGAUUUUUUUUUGUUUUUCCCUUAUUUUUUUCCUUUUUCUUAUUUUAUUGGAUGUAAUUUGUUGUAUUUAGUGAGGGUAAAAUAGGAUUUCAAUAUUUUGGUGUCCCCCCUCUCUUCCCAUAUAGAAUAGAGAUACUGUAA